UUGAUGACAUAGACUAAGGUAAUUAUAUUUUACAAAAGUAUCACUUGUAAAGAAGAUAUACAUAAUCAUGUAUGUGUUGCUGGAUUCUUCUUGUUAGAAAGAGGUGUGUUUGGUCUGACUAACACACACGGAAACUAAUAUUCAUACUUUUUAGUUGGAAUAAUCUGAUGUAGCUCAUAGGAACUUGACAAGAGAGUAUAUAGUUUUAAAGUUCAUGUUGUUGUUUAAACCCAAAAAAAAAACAAAUUCAUGCUGUUGUCACACGUAAUAUAAACCUAUUGCCAUAUGUAUAAUUUCUUAUAGCUAUCUGUUUGGUAUUAGAGUAUUUUUCGAAUUUACUCUGUAUUAACUAAUCUUUUUUUUUUAUUGUUUUGGAAAAGAAGUAUCCAAAACAAUCUGAAAAUGUGCAAGUCUUAGGUUUGAGGAAAAGGAAGAAGAAGCAAAUUGAUCAUGGUGCAGAGGCAUGAAAAAGAACUUUGCUAUAUCAGCGAGCAGCAACAACGUCUAAUGCUUCUUUUCGUGGAGAAGUAAAGUUAUUCAUUAAGGGUAUGCUUGAAUCUUCUUUCAAUAGUUUUGCCUAGAACAUCGGCAAAAGAUUGGCGAAAACGAAAGGAGGAUGUAUCUAAAAUCAAGGGAAUGAUUGCUACAUGUGGGGUUACAAGAGAAACGACUUCGACACCGUCCCAACUACUAAAAGUGCAGCAUAAUUCUUUGGUACGUAAAAAGUAGCUUUGUCCUAUGUUACCUUUGUGUGUUCUUGUUUUCUUUUCUUUGUAUUUGAUCCUAUCACUUCCAAAUCUGAUAUGUAUCUGCAUGUAUAAUUUUUUUAAUCGGC